CUGACCUAGACUUCUCUUUUCACUAUCGUUCCUUUCCUCUUCUCAUCACCGCAAGAAGCGACUGUGGAGAGAUCAAAUCGCCUGCUAAUUACUUCUCCUACCAGUUCAAGUGGAAAAUGGAGCAGGAUCUCCUGAAAUCAUCGCUCUUCUUCAUCGAUCAGUGCAUUUGGUCUGCAAAAAUCCUCACUCUGUGCAUGGUCUUUAGAUUGAAUACCUCACUCGUCUUCUUCUUCUUCUUCUUCUUCGGCAUUUUGAUGCUUUUUCCUCGAUCCUUGUCCUUCUAGAUGUGUUUCUCGAAUGGUGAAUCUAGGUUUUCCUUGCAAUCAUCUGCAGGUGAGAGCACUAAUCGAAGUCGCUGUCCUCAAUUUCCUGAAAACCCUCACCGCUCCCAACCCAGCCGUAUCAAAUCUGGCAUCGGUGUGUCUCUUUCUCGAUUUGCAAGCUUGUGAAGGGUUUAGGGCUUUCCAUUUGAUUUUGGAUCCAUUCCUUGGUAUUAUAAUUAAACCCCAGUUUCAUUAUUAGGGUUUCAUCGUGUUUGUUGUAGCUAUACGUCAUUUAUUUUGAGUGAUUUGGGAUCACAGUUUGCUCACUAAUAAUCCCAUCUAACGUACGUGAUAGAUUAACAACAAAUCUAAUGACAACGGGUUCCAUCAAGGGGUUCUUGAGUGAGGUCUCAUCAAUCUAUUCUAUCGCACUCUAUUUGCACAAGAUCUUUCAUGAGAGCAUAGGGUGCAAAACCUUUCACAAGAGAUAUAGUUUCUGUAAUUAACUCCCAAUAUCUCACACUCUACACAUAGCAUGAAUUUCUUGUUCUUGUUGAGUUUCUCUGCAGUAUAGAUGGUCAUGGCGAUGUGCUUCCGCAUUGUCGGGGAGGGGAAGCUUGUCACGCAACGAAAACUUUUCUAUAAGCUUCUUUGUGACUCACCUGACUAUUUCACAUCUUAGGAUCAAGUCAACAGAGCAGUACAAGGUCACCAUGUUCUAUCAUCCAUAUUGAUGUUGUUGCAUUGCUCCAGUGCACUCGACAUAGUCUAGGUAUCAUGGCUUCUAGCAAAGUCACAAUUGUUGGGAGAUUCCUGUUAGAGGAGCUUGGUGAAUAGAAUGUUGAUUGUUCUAUGCUUGGACAAGUUGGCUAUGCUAUAACCGGAGACCUUUAUGCAUUGAACAUAUUUGUCCUUAAUUAUGAUGUGAGAUAUAUCAUCAUAGUAGAGAAGUUACCUUUACAAAUACUUGAAGAAAGAAAAUAGAGCUGAGUAUGUCUCAUUUGUGGAUCCUGGUCACAUACCAACAUGUGGUGUGGGCGAAGAAGGCAGUAAAUUGUCACAACAUAUUGCUGAGCAGUUGAGAGCAUCAAACAAAGAUAGUAUCUGCUUCAUUCCAUACAACACUAGAUACCAUUGGAUCCUGACUAUAAUUAAUGAAGAUAAGAAUAUGAUAUAUUUAUUGGACUCUUUGAGUAAUAGGAACCGAGAUCAUGCUUGGCAAACUAUUGUGACCAAUGGGGUUAAGUUAUACAAUGCGUCAAGGGGAAUUUCAAAAGGACUUGGUUUUAAAUAAUUGACGGGUAAUCUAAAAUAAAAAGGUGGUGUUGAAUGUGGAUAUUGUGUAAUGCGGUACAUGAAAGAGAUAGUCUUGGAUAAAUAUCCCCAACUGGAGAUGAAGUUUGCAAUAUCAAAAAAUAAACAGUAUUACAAUCAAUCUCAGUAUGAUGAAGUCAGAAGUGAAUGGAGCGAAUUCGUCUACUUCUAUAUAGGUGCUUAAGUGUAGGAUGUGAUAUAAAUUUUGGAUUGUAUUUAGAAAUUUAUGGAUACAAAAAUUUUUGGGUUAUGGUUAAAUAUGUCUUUUAUGAAUACACUUUUGGAUUGUAUUUGAUACAUAUUUAUGAUAUAUUUGUUUAAUUUUGAUUGUGAAAAA